AAACUGGCUAUAGCUCCACCCUCGUGAUCACGUGACUUUUUUACUUCUGUUUAGUCACAACCCUUGUCCUUGUCAAAAAUCAGAAAGUCUUGAAAGUGUAUUUUAAUUUUUAGUGGAAAAUUUCUUCAAUAGGAAGUGGCAGACCUGGAUUAUCCAACAUAUUAAAUACUUUUCUCAAAGUACCAAUUUAUACAGUCGUGAGAGGUUUGAAAAUGGUUCGUACCUACUACAGAAAGACUGAAAAGGUGCCUAGAGAAAUAUUGAUUGGUGCACUGAGGCACUUGAAAUUACUCGAUAAUCUUAAUUUGCAAAAGA